AAAAAAAACAUAUUAGUAUAAAUUAAUUUUAACAAUAACAAAAAGAAAAAGGAAAAAAAAAGGGGGCAUCAGUUCUCCAAGGUGAAAUAGCAUCAAUGGAAAAAUUCAGACGCAAAUUACCCAUUACUUCAUGAGAUUCAUCACUUGCCCCUGCCAAACUCAAUCGCCAAUACUCAAAGAAAUAACAAAAACACUUUCCCUUUCAUCAAUUUCACGAAAAAACCUUCAACAUUCAUCAGAAAAAAUCAGAAAAAACAAGGUAAAAAAUCAUGAGAGUAUAUGUGAAAGAAAGAAAUAAUAAUGAGAUGUGGAUGUGUGGGAUGUAGAAGGCGAUCAGAACCUGUCGGGAUUCAUUGUUUAACAUCAUCUGAUGUUGAUAUCAGUGGAUUGACAGACCAAUGAAUUCUAUCGUCACCUCGCUUUUUCCAAUCUCAAACCACACACAACAUUCCCAAAAUCAACGAAUGAGUUUUCGAAAAAACAGAUCUAAAAUCAAAACUCCAGCAUAUACGAAAACAUGUAAAGAAAAGAAAAAAAGAAGCUCAGAACUUCUUAGAGGGUUGUGUUACCAUCACAGACCAACUCCGAAGAGAGUCUUUGGUACACAAGACUAGAUUUUCAUCAUUGCAAUAGCUACCAGAACUAGCAUUCGAAGAAGAAGGCAGAAACUAGCAUUUGAAGAAGAAGGCAGAAACUGGCCUAUGAAGAAGGCAGAGAGGGGAAAGAGAAGCAAGGAAAGGAGGCUGGUGUGGUGAGUGGUAGACGAGAGGAAGUGCAGGGAGAAAGGGCCUUUUUAUAGGACAAACCCUAACCCUAAUUUCAUGUCUUGAGAUUAAUGAAGGGAAAUUGUCCCAAAUGGAAUUUAUUUUGGGUUUUCUGUAUACAAAAUUAAACGGUGACAGAAUUAGCUUACUAAAAUUCAUUUUCUGACAUUUGGAAAAUACUUUGCAACAAUUUGGGGAUGAAUAUUUUAUUUUCAUCCCUACUCCCGAAUUUGGUCAUUUCUAGGUAGGA
rnacentral:lncRNA from 1 species